AGCGAGCGCUGGCGGCAGGCUUAACACAUGCAAGUCGAGCGGGCAUCUUCGGAUGUCAGCGGCAGACGGGUGAGUAACACGUGGGAACGUACCCUUCGGUUCGGAACAACUCUGGGAAACUGGAGCUAAUACCGGAUACGCCCUUAUGGGGAAAGGUUUACUGCCGAAGGAUCGGCCCGCGUCUGAUUAGCUGGUUGGUGGGGUAACGGCCUACCAAGGCGACGAUCAGUAGCUGGUCUGAGAGGAUGAUCAGCCACACUGGGACUGAGACACGGCCCAGACUCCUACGGGAGGCAGCAGUGGGGAAUAUUGGACAAUGGGCGCAAGCCUGAUCCAGCCAUGCCGCGUGAGUGAUGAAGGCCUUAGGGUUGUAAAGCUCUUUUGUCCGGGACGAUAAUGACGGUACCGGAAGAAUAAGCCCCGGCUAACUUCGUG
rnacentral:rRNA from 1 species